rnacentral:rRNA from 1 species
UACGAAGGGGGCUAGCGUUGUUCGGAUUUACUGGGCGUAAAGCGCACGUAGGCGGAUAUUUAAGUCAGAGGUGAAAUCCCAGGGCUCAACCCUGGAACUGCCUUUGAUACUGGAUAUCUAGAGUAUGGAAGAGGUGAGUGGAAUUCCGAGUGUAGAGGUGAAAUUCGUAGAUAUUCGGAGGAACACCAGUGGCGAAGGCGGCUCACUGGUCCAUUACUGACGCUGAGGUGCGAAAGCGUGGGGAGCAAACAGG